CCCAAUUUGGUGGGAAACCUAGACUUUCCAUUUCACGCGUGUCUCCAAGCAAAAGAAGUGACUGGUAGCUCUGGGGAGCACCCCCGCCUCCCCCUGCCUGCUCUGGGCCGUGAUGACAUGUUCGUGCUGUGCACUUAUUCUUUCAACAGGUCAUUAUUAAAUGCCCAGUAAAUGCCGGUUGCCAAGGAGACAGCAGUAAACAAGCAGGGGAACAGCCUCGGACGUUGUGUUGGGAGCUCGGGGAUGCUGAGUGGAUCUUAAAGGUUCUCAUCACAACAAAAAAAAACCCGUGGAAUUAUUCAAAUAAGCCAGUCACAGGAAGCGAGGCUCACCCCAAAAGCCUGCCUCCCAUAGCCCCUCCUGGUUCACUCUGUUUCUGAGCACACCCUCCCUCUGGCCCUGGGUGUCCUCCGCCCAGGCUAUGACAAAAUGAGGCAUCAAGAGACAGCUUCCCCAGGGGGUGGAGCUGGGAUUUGAACUCAAGAAACUUGUCUCCAGAGCCCAAGCUCUCAACCAGGACGCUGGGCCUCCUCAAACAGAAGCAAGAAACGUGCAGGCUGGAGAGCCACAACGCAGCUGACUUAUGGAGCCGCUGCAUCUUCAGAUGCCAUUUCCCCAGCGGGGAGCCCUAAAUCUUUAUUACAAAAAGACCUUGGAAUGGGUCAAAUCUCAGUUG
rnacentral:lncRNA from 1 species